rnacentral:rRNA from 1 species
CGGACGGGUGAGUAACACGUGGAUAACCUACCUAUAAGACUGGGAUAACUUCGGGAAACCGGAGCUAAUACCGGAUAACAUGUUGAACCGCAUGGUUCAACAGUGAAAGACGGUCUUGCUGUCACUUAUAGAUGGAUCCGCGUCGCAUUAGCUAGUUGGUAAGGUAACGGCUUACCAAGGCAACGAUGCGUAGCCGACCUGAGAGGGUGAUCGGCCACACUGGAACUGAGAUACGGCCCAG